AUUUUCUUUUAUAUAUUUUUUUUUUUUGAUAGGUAAAGAUAAUUCAUUAAAAAGAGGCGCCAGAAAAGCGACUCAAGGUAAACAGAACUAUGCAAGGUAUACAAACCUAAACACCCACCACCAAAAAGCUAAGAAAAAUAAAGAGGCCCAAAAAGUCACCUAGCCCAAAAACAACCUUAAUAGGAACCAAUCAAUAAAAUUAACUAUAGUUAUAGGACAUUCAACUAUAAACAAUUUAGCCUCAGACCAAAGAGAGAAAAGAAAGGAAUAUUUCAAUCUUUGGAUUGAUAGCUCGUCAUCCUUAAAUGUCAAUCUAUUUCUCGUCUUCCACACUGUCCAAAAUAUAUGCAGAGGAACAGCUCUCCACACCUUCUUGCGCUUAUUGCCCACAAAAGAACCAUGCCAACUAAGAAGAGUCUCUCUAACUGAGGAGGGCAACACCUAAGACACCCCAAACAAGGUAAAGAGUAGCUCCCAUAAGGCCCUUAUUUUUGAACAAUGAAGAAGCAAAUGAUUUAUUGUCUCCUCUUUCUCAAGACACAUAAAGCAUCUAUUUGCCAAGGACCAUCCUCUUUUCUGAACAAGGUCUAGGGUUAAAGCUUUACCCCAUGCUGCCUCCCACGCAAAGAAACUGAUUUUGGGUUGUACCCACCUAUUCCAAAUACAGUUAGAAGGAAACAAAACAGGGCAGUCCGCUUCUAGAGCAAGGUAGAGAGACUUUGCUGAAAAUCUUCCGCUCUUUGUUUCGGUCCAAACCACCAUAUUCUCUACAUCUCCAAGCACUCUCUUCCCGUGAAGAUGCUCCAAAAAUAUUUCCACCUCCCAAUCAUUUAGAGCUCUUGAAAAACAGGGACUCCAACCCCCCUCAGCCAAGGGAUCCCAAACAUCCGCCACCCGAGCUUCCUUUUCAGCAGACAAGGCAAAGAGGGAAGGAAAAGACUCACACAAGGGGGAAUCCCCACACCAUCUAUCCCUCCAAAAGCUCACCCUCCUCCCAUUGCCAACUCUAAAAUAGAUUCGAGCACCCACCAACUCCCAAUACAUCCUUAUUCCUUUCCAAAGCCCCACACUGUGUGCCUCUCUCACUUCCUGAGAGCUCUAACCCCCUCUAUCUUUCCCAUACUUUCUUCUAAUCACUUGAUUCCACAAAGCAUCUCUCUCAUUUGCAAAUCGCCAAUUCCAUUUGGAAAGAAGAGCCUUAUUGAGAAUGGAAAGACAUUUGACCCCCAAUCCCCCCUUCUUUUUACUUAAGCACACCACCUUCCAUCUUACUAAGUGUGGUUUUCGCUCCAAGUUGCCACCACCCCAAAGGAAGUCCCUUUGGAUUUGCUUUAGUCUUCGUCUAAUUGAACUUGGUAACUUCAGCAAGGACAUAAAGUAAAUAGGGAGAUUCGACAAAGUGCUUCGAAUUAGAGUUGCUCUCCCCCCCCUUUGAUAAGUAUUGUCUCUUCCACAUGGUCAAUCUUUUACGAAACCACUCUUCCACUCCAUCCCACACUCAUAUUGUCUUAAACGGAGCACCCAAGGGGAGGCCCAGAUAAGUGACGGGAGACUACCCACUCUACAACCAAAGUCCAAGGCAAGAUCAUCGAUAUUCUCUACCCUCCCUACUGAAAUAAGUUCACUCUUCUCCAAGUUAAUUUUCAAACCUGAUACGGCCUCAAACCAUAUAAGCAAUCAGCUUAGGUAAGUCAGCUGGUCUUGAAAAACUUGGCAAAACACCAAGGUGUCAUCAGCAAACAGCAAGUGUGAAAUCUGAACCCCUUCUCUGUUUCUUCCCUUCACUUUACAACCCGACAUAAAACCUCCAUCCACAGCCCUUUUAAGAAAUGAGCUAAAAACCUCCAUGGCUAUCACAAAAAGAUAAGACGAUAGAGGGUCACCUUGCCUCAAUCCCCUUGAGCUUUGGAAGAAACCCUUAAACGUUCCAUUAAUCAACACAGAGAAACUUGCAGUGGAUAUGCACCACAUAAUCCACCCUAUCCAUUUCUCCCCAAAGCCCAUUUUCUGCAUAACUGUGAGAAGGAAAGACCAGUCCACAUUGUCAUAUGCCUUCUCUAUGUCAAGCUUGCACAUAAAACCAUUCUCAUUAUUCUUCAGAAUCGAGUCAAUGGCUUCAUUUGUUAUUAGCACUGCCUCUAGAAUUUGUCUACCCUCCACAAAGGCCCCUUGAACCUUAGAAGAGACUCCUAGAAAGUCUUAGUGAGAUUACAAGGUUUCUACCUCUUGUUCUUUAUCUUUGUUUCUCUAUAUUUUAGUUUAUUUUUCCUCAUUUUAAUAAUUUUUAUUUCUCAUUCCUCUCCUUAAACCCAAAUGAUUGGAACUCACCUUAUUUGAUUGUAGACAACCAUCUUUGGGUUCCUACACUAGAGGCAAGACCUUAUCAAAGCACUAGGUCCAUCCAAUACCUCAUACAAAGAUUAAUGUCAUUCAAGCCACAAGGUUACUUUCAAAUUAGUGCCAUUGUGAGCAUGCAUGCAUGUGAAUCCAAGUUAUGCUAUACAUUUUCUAAACUCCUAAUGUGAGCAUGCAAAUUGUCAUCAGCAUGCAUGCAAAUCCAUGUCAUGCUAUCCAUUUUUUAAACUCAUAAUCCAAUUAAGCAAAUUGUUAUCAAAAAUAAAAAUUAAAAAAAAUGAAACAAGAAUUGGCCAGAAUGCAUACAGCUCGUAUGUUUGCAUAGGCAGGAUCCAAGUUAGGUACUUCAAGACCACGCAGAGCACCAGUCAGCCACUCACAUGCUUCAAUGUUUUGCAGCAUGCGUGCCUCAUCAAAGGGACCUCCAGUUAGACAUGCUGCAUACUAUAACCAAUGAAGCAUGGUUUAAAAGAAGCUUAGAGUAGUUGACCAAACUCAAUAUUUGAUUCUAGUAACAAAAAAUGAUGGAUAACAAACCUCAGAAGGGACUCGCAAUCGUUCAAGAAGCUUUUCAAGUUCCUCAAUGAGUGCUUUAUUGUUUACAGAUUGCAUCUCCAACUUGUUAUUGCGGGUUUCUAUCUGCAUGUCACAACAAAAGUUACAAAUUGACGUCUGUUCAAGCUGUGAAUAAUACAUAAUUACAUCCAAAAUGAUGCUAAUGCCUCAAUUUAAGAAUCAAAGACAACAUUUAGCCUGAAGUGCAAACCAUGUGGGAAACAAAGCAACUUGAACAAUCACUCUGUUAACUUGCCCUUCAAAAGCAUAGAAUAAAAAAGACUACAUCUCAGACACAAAUGGAGAAUGUCAACACAUGAAAACCAUUGUCUUCCUUGUAGGAUUAUGUGUCAAUAUCAAUACUCAUACAGAGGCCAAGGGAGGCACCCUUCAACCAGGGACUUGAAGUAAAUGAGCUCACACUCACAGACAAAGUAAACUAGGGCACAUGAGAUAAGCGACUUCAUUGUUUAAUUCAGUGUGGAUGUUAAAACUUGCAUGUGGAAAUAGAAACACAAUGGCUUAAGCCAAGGACAUGGAGGUAAAUGGGCACACAAUCAUGCACUUACACAUGAUUAUAUGAUAAAAUAUUUCAAUGCCUAUAUAAAAAUUGUAAAUUUCAAAAUUUAGGAACCACAAAGAGAAUGGAUGAAGAAGCAUUUCUUCUAUCCAGACGCAGUCACACGCUAGACAAAAAUAAACAUGGGCUAGAUAGAAUCAUUACAGAAAGACUUAAAAUCGCAAUUUAGCAUGCAGAGGCCCCUACCGACUCAAUAUCCUCUCUCAUGUGUCUAAGUUUCACAUUGAAAAUGCCUAACCAUUCAUCCAUAUCAUCAACACAAUUUGUAGCUGUCUCGAGGCCUUGCAGUACCUGAAAAACAAACAAAUCAACCACUAAAAAACCAGACUAGAUGCCACUUUAGAGGACUUCAUAAAUAAUACGCACUAUUGUCACUUGUUAACAUACAUGAGAAAAACAGACACACAUACUGUUAAAAGAAUUUUUUUUAAAAAUGAAAAUCCAAAAAAGGGCUGACAGAUAGUCCUGAAAAUAAUAAAAAUAAGAUAUACUGUUCUCACCUAUAAUCAAUGAACUACUACCCACACAACAAACUUGGCCUGACAAUGGCCCAAUUUUCAUUUUACAAAUAAUAUGUAUAUGAUUGCAUGAAGGAAUAGAAAAUUUUGACAGUGGAAGAUUCAAGUUUUGAUGUACAAGUUCUAUUCACUACCUAAUAUACAUGGACAUAGAACCCUGAGGGGUAGCUCAGUUGGUCCAGCCUUGGGUUUGCUCCCCAAUGGUCACUAGUUCAAGUCCCCCCAGGGCCAUUGGAGGUUUACCCGGUGGUUUACUUCAGGGCCCUGUAGGAUUAGUCGAGGUGCACGUAAGCUGGCCCGGACAUCCACGGUUAUAAAAAAAAUAUAUAUAUACAUGGACAUAGAGGCAGGAUCAUUAGAUUUUUAGCAUGCUGGAGAUAACCUUCUUCCUAAGUAUGAUUUCUUUGGAGACCUAGGUAUUAUUGUUUAGGAACCUUUGUGUGAUUACCUCAGGUUUAUUAUUUUUUUCCACCUUUCUGUAACUCAUUAACCUCAACUCAAAACUAAACAAACUACUAAAAAGCAAUGGAAAUCCAACCUUCAUACAUCAAAUUUGGUCAAGAGCCUAAGAGGAACUAUGGGAGAUUGAUAACUUUUUUUUAUCAUAGGUAAACAAAAUAAAUAUAUUAAAGGCACUAAACUGAAGGCGCACCAAGGCACACAGGCCAUAUAUAAAGAGUCCCCAAAAAGCAACAAAAAGAGCAACAAAAAACAACCAGCCCUUCAAGAUGAACCUAACCAAUCUAUAAAAUCUACCAUGGUUAUGAAGUCUCCAUCUAUAUACACCCUCACUCAUAACAAAAGAUUGCAAAGAAAGGAGAAUUUUAGGAAAUGAUCUCUUUGAUUUCAAAAGAUCUUUAGUUCCUCUCUUUCUAUAAUGUCCAAAAAACACAUAAUGAGAUAACCCUCCAAACCUUCUUUUGUUUUUUACCCAUGAAGGAUCCAUGCCACCCUAAUAGAGUUUCGCUUACAAACCAUGGCAUCCCCCAAGUAACCCCAAACAACAAGAAUACCAAACCCCAUGAGCCUCGAGCUUGGGCACAAGGAAGGAGAAUGUGGUUAAUAGUCUCUUAGAACAUACAAAGAAAACAUUGAUUCACCAGGUGUCAUCCUCUUCCUUGAAAUUGAUCUAAUGUCAAAACUUUUCCUUAAGAAGCUUCCAAAGCAAAAAAAAACUUACUUUAAGUGAGACCAUUGGGUUCCAAACAGCCUUUGAGGGGAAAGGAAUUUCUCUUUCCCACCCCAUAAAAUGGUAGUAGGAUUUGACUAGAAACUUCCCUUUCUUAGCAUCCCACCAAUCUAGCCUAUUGUCAUUAUUCCUUCUCACCUCCUUCCCUUGGAGCCUUGAAAGAAACUCCUCAACCCUUUCCAACUCUCAAUCAUUUAGAUCCAUUGAGAAACAAGGAUUCCAAAUCCCACCCUCUUCUUGAUGGUCCCAGACAUUCGUCACCCAAGCUCCCUUUGUCAAGGAUAUCGAAUAUAACAAAGGAAAAGACCCUCUUAGAGUUGAAUCACCACAUCAGAUAUCUUUCCAAAACUUCAUCAUACUACCAUUGCCUGCACUGAAAGAGGUUCUACUAAUGAUGUCCCACACACUCUUGAUGGGCUUCCACAACCCAACUCCAAAACCAUCCCUACUUUCCCUAAAACACCAACCUCUUAUAUUCUUUAAAUGAUCAAAGACAAAGUUGAAGUUUUAGAAGCCCAAGUUCAAGAACUACAAGUUGUAUUCCUUGCAAUACUAAGAAAUCAGCUAAUGAUGUUCCUAAACAUACAAUUUGGGGACCUAAUGAUAACAAAAUAGGUGUAAGGGAGGAGAAUAUGGAGCAAGGGGCAAUUUAAACAGUGUCUUCUAAGAUAAUACAUUAUCUUGAAAACCCAACAUGCAGAUGGACAUGGGGCAUGACAAUGGGCCAAGAGAAAUAUGCAUAUUGGUGCCUAGAGGUCCGAGACAACAAAAAAAAAAAAAAAAAAAAGAGGAGAUAAUACAAGAUAAUGAUGAGGGUGAUGAUUCCUCCAAGCUCAUAACUGUUGACGAUCUUCAAGAGGCCCAUCAGGACUUCUUUUUAAAUUUGUUUAAGACAUAUUCUUAUUGCACCAAAGCAAGAAAAGAAAGAUUGUACCAUGUAGGUUAGGAUUACAUUUUCAUAGUUUUAUUCAGUUUUUAGGGUUUUAUAAAGCUUAUGAAUGAGGUUAAUUAAUGUUAAACAAAAUUAAUGAAGAUUGAUGAUCAAUAAUAUUAAGUUUUUUUGCGUACCUAGCAAUUUUUAAUGGCGAGACUCCAUUGCUCUUCAUCAAGGUGAGACUCUAAAAAUUUUAUCUUUUCCUCUUUAUCCUUCUCUUCAUAUACUUUAUUUUACUUUUCCCAGCUACUAUAAUUUUUAUUCCUCAUUUAUCUCCUUAAAUCCUAAAAGAUUGAAGCCUUAAUCCAACUACUUGAUUGAAGACGACCAUGCUAGGGUUUUUCCUACAUCAGAAGCACAUCGAGAUACAUAAGCCAUAUAUGAGGAAGUACCAAAAGGCAAGCUAAAAAGAGAAUAAAAACCUUCCUUCCUUCCUUAGUGGGAAGUCAACCAAUGAACAGAAUCAACCAUAGAAGAAGAUUUGGUUCUAUUUCUUAUAGCUAGUAUGAUGAUUUUAUAUGGUGUAAUGUUAUCCUUAUGAAUGUGAGACAUAUUCCUUAAUUAUAUGACCAAGAUGUGAAUCAUCAGGGAAAACCUACCAUAUUCUCGCACAUUUAAUAAAUAGAACAUUAUUUGAAGCUUAAGAGUAUGGAAGAAAUUAAGAAACAUCUUCACAAAAAAAGAAAGGACAAAAAAGGACAAAGAGUGUGGUUGAAACUCAAAAAAGGCUUCUCUUUUACAAGAAAAAGUUUGAAAGGAGUAAAAAGAAUGAAGUUGUUAUUGCUUUGCAACCUAGAAAGCUUAUUAAGUUAAUCCCCUUGCUAUCAAGUACAAAAUCAAGUAUAAAAAUGUUUGAAAGCCACACGAGGAAGAUUCAUGAUAAAACAGUAAGAUUGAGUUUAUUAGUGAAAAAUACUAUCCUCCAGUUGAUAUGAAGAGAUGUUUCAAGGAAUCUAAACAAAAGGAUAUGGUUAUGAUAAUUUUUUAUUGAAUUUACGGAAGAGAUAUGGUGAUGAUUUACAUAAGGCUUGAGCAUUUUCCUAAAGAGGCCUAUAAGGAGUUAGAUCCCAAGAAUGCUAGCCCAUACAAGAUUGUGAAGAAAAUUAACUCCAACACCAAUACUCUUGAACUACCAAAGGAAAUGGGUACUACUAAUGUGUUUAAUAAUGAGAAUCUAACAUUUUAAAGAGAGCAUUAAGAGGAUUCUUCUCAAGAUGAAGAAGCUAUUUGAUUAACAUCAGCAGCAAGCUUAAAGGAAGAGAUUAAAGACAUGGAUGAUCCAAUUGUGGCAACAAGAGGAGGCAGCUAUGAAAAGUACUUGGUUAAGUGGAAGAAUCGCUUUCCUCUUAUUGCACUUGGAUUAUAGUUACUAAAUUUUAGUAUACAGAUAAUGUUGAUGAGAAAUAUUAUUUCUUUUAUUCACCAAUGUCAAGUUCUUCCAAGCAAAUAAGAGAUGAUGAGGAAUAUUGUAUGAAGAAAUGCCCAAAUCUUAAUUUGAAACGCCAACUAGUUAAUUUGGGGCAAAUCCAAUCUUAGUAUAUGUUUUUUUUAACAGGAGUAGUUUGGUAAAAUGAUAUUGUUGAAAUGAACUAGAUUAAUAGAUCAGAGUCCUAUUUAGAGUCUUCUUAUCUUAUUAGAAUUGAUUUUAGUAGUUUACGUCUUUGUCAUUUCCCAAUGGGAACUCAAGUUCACAUCAUUAAUUUAUGGUAAGUUGAAUCUUAAUAUAUCCUUUUUCUUUUUCUUUAUUUUUUUAUUUUUAUUUUUUUGGCAAGGUAGUUGGCAAUUUUGAUAUUGUUGGAAUGGGCUAGAUUAACAGUUGAUAGUCUUAUUUAGAUUCUUUUUAUUCUUUGAAGAUUGAUUUUAGUAGCUUCCUUCUUUGUCAACUCAUAUUUCUUUUAGCUUCUAAAUUGAAAUUCUUAUUCCUAUGAGAGAAUGGGGUCUUGUGAUUCUACAUAAACCUAGGUACCCUUUAAGUUUUUAUUCAUAUUUAAUAAGAGUUGUUAGCAGUCACCAAGCUUCUUUUGACAUGUGAUUGUUUUUUUUUUUUCUAACUGUUGUUACACAAGAAGCUCAGGUGUGAUUUUCCUAGGAAACUUAAUUAAUGUGAUUGCCUAGGAUUUACUUCUUUCCCAGUCGUCUUUAACCUAUUCAACAAACAACUCAGGACUAAAAAACUCUACACAUGCUCAAAAUAUAAAUAUAAUUAUACAUAUGCAUAUAUAUGUACAUGUGUUUGCAUGUGCAUAUAAAUAUAUACAAAGUGUAGAUAGUAUCAAACUGUCCCUGUGAAAUGCAUAAGACUCUCAAUUAAUAACCAUAAAAAGAGCAUGGUUCAUAUCCUACUCAAUUAAGAGCCAUUGAAAUUCGGUUCAUUGAAAAGCUAACCAAACAAUAACUCAGUAGCAGGACAAUAGCUACCAAUAAGAAAAUAAAAAAUAACUAGAGGACAAUAUCUAAUACCAUAAACCAAAUACAUAUGGUGGUUCAAGCAAUGGCACAAUUGAUCUAAAAAGUAGAUUUGCUUAAUAUAGUUUGCUCAUAUGCAGGAACCACCGUGGAUGACGUUCUUGAGCAGGAUGCAAAUCAGAAGUUCUAAACAAUGAGGGGACAUUGAAAAUGAGAAAGAGCUGAUCUGAUCUGGUGAGAAAGCUUUUUUUUUAUAUUUUAUAUAUAUAUAUAUAUCAGAAACAAAAAAAAAUUAUUAAAUAUAGAUAAAGAAAUAAACCAUAAACACCGCAUGAAUGUAACCCAUUGGAACAAAAGGUUUACCUCAUCGACCAAUGGUUCAGAUUCCAAAAUGGCAUGCACAUUUGCUGCUUCCAAGGCAAGAAGUUCUCUCUUCAACCUUUCAGAAAAGGCCUCAGCUUCACCAAUACCCAUGACAUAACUGCAUAUCAUGCCAUGACUGAAAUUGUCAGAACUUGAUUGAAGUAGUUUCAACAAGUAAUGACAGAGAAACUAAUGUGGGAAGGAUGCUAAGUUGGCUUUUGUCUUCAUGAUUCAAUUGAUACUCAACUUAGAAAAACCACAAUUAGUUAUUAAGAAAAUAACAAAAAGUAAGAUAAAUAACAUAAAUCAGCCCUUGGGGGCAGGCUCAAAUGACAAGAGGUCGGGAUGAGGAUGGAAUGAAGGAGGAGGUUCCAGGUUCAGUUCCAUGUAACAGCAAAUCAAAAAUAAAAAAAUAAAAAGGCAAAAAGCAGUAGGAACGAGAUAAUAAAUGAAGAAAGAAAGAAGAAGAAGAAAGGAAAAAAAGGUUAUCUACCAAAAGAACAAGAUAAAUAACAUUAAUCAAUAGGAUAUAUUUGUCUUCAUCUAGGGGCAAGACAUGAACCAUUCCUUUUUCAACAAGCAAACAGGAAAAGUAAAGAUGGUUAUGGGCCAACCUAGCAAAGAAACAAGAAGCUACAAGAUGAUGGGUGACAAAAUAAUAAAUGAUCAAAUUAAAAAUUAAUGCACUUUUAGGAAGUUAAAGAAGGAAUUUGAGAACAUGAUGAGUGGCUAUAACAACUUGGUCAUGUGGUCAACAGAAAACAAGAAAAGUUAAAUGGUUAUGGACCAAUGUAGUGAAGAAACAAGAAACUAUAAGAUAAGUACCCAGAGAGCUAUGAUGGAUGGAUGUCAAAAUAAUAAAUGAUUGAAUUAGAAAUUAAUUGCUUUUAGGAAAUUAAAGUAGGCAUUUGAGAAUAUGAUGAGUGGCUUGGUCAUGUAGGAGCAUUAAUAAUAAUAAUAAUAAUAAUAAUAAUAUAUUAUUAUUAUUAUAAUAUAGAAAUUGUAACUUACAAAGAAAGAUGAGAAAUCCUUCCAGCAAGUACAAAACUCUCUAUACAAAGUCUGAUAAAAAAAUAUGAUGAAUCUAUACUAGAUCAAAAAGUAAAUCUAUCUACAGACAUCAAAAUGGUUAGAACAACACUCACUAUAUUUUAUGAAAAAAUAAAAAAUCUCCUACAAAAGAAACCAAAUAUCUAGCUACAUGCUUUACUAAUGCAUCCGAUGCAAGAUUCCCUAAGCAAAGAGACCACUUGAAGGAAUAUCCUAACUCUAAAGAAAUAUAAUAACUUGACCUAACCACCCAUCAAACUUCAACAAUCUCCUUUCUUUCUUAGUGAUAUGACAACAAGGGAAUCUCCUACUAAGAGAUUUGAGAGGCUCAAAGCUUUCCCUAGGCUAGAAUCUCUACAUCAACCAUUAAACCUUGACCAUGCAAACCAAUUAUAAUAACAAUAAAUUGGUUUUGCUUAAUUUAAGGUAAUAAUCCAGCUGAUUCCAAUACCCACCAGUUAUCUAGGCCUUCCUUUACAUGUCUUUGUUUUCCAUUCCCAAAAAAGUGAGUUUAAGGCCAGAGAAGAUUUAGAGAGAUUUCUUGUGGGGGAAAUCAUCAAAUAACAAACCUCAUCUUGUUAAUUGGUCAAUUAUAUGCAUGGAGGAGAAAGGUGGUAGUCUUGGUAUCAGAAACUUGGCUGCUCCUAACAAGGCCCUGAUUUGUAAAUGGACUCGAAGGUUUGCAACUGAAAGGAAAGCUUCUUAGUAAAGGGUUAUUGUAGGGAAGUUCAUUGAAGAUGAAGUUCUAAUGAGGGAAGGGAUGGGCAUGGUGUAUGCCUAUGGAAGGCAAUUAGAAAAGCAUGGGAUGUUGUCAAAAGAAGAUAUUGCUUUAUAAUGGGGAAUGGAAGAAGGGUCAAGUUUUGGAAAGAUAGACGGUAUAGAGAGUCAACCUUGAGUGCUUCUUUCCCAUCUCUUUUUGAUAAAGCCUCUGCAAAGGAUGAUGCUUGGGUAGUAGAUAUAUGGGAGCAGUUAAGGGAAAGCAAAUGUUGGAGCCCUUUCUUUGUUAGACAGUUACACAAUUGGGAGCUCGAAGAUAUGGAGGAUUUCCUCUCAAUAUUGCAUUCACAAGUGGUAAGAAGCAAUAGUGAGGAUAAGAUGGUCUUGUUAGGAUCGAAAAGACACAUGUUUUUGGUAAAAUCCUCAUAUUCCUAUUUGUUGUCAGGAGAUAUGAUCCAUUUCUAAAAGACAUUAAAUCAAACCCUCAAGUACCAAUGGAAGUGGGUUUUUCACCUAAGAGGCAAUUUGGGGCAGGAUUCUCACCAUAGAUCAGCUGAAAAAAAGGGGUUGGGCCUUAGUGAAUAGAUGUUCCUUAUGUAAAAAUAAGGAAGACUCGACAGAUCAUCUUUUGCUUCAUUGCGCUAAAACAGGAAUAUUAUGGCAGCUAGCUUCUCUUUGUUUGAAGUAGAAUCGGUGAUGACAAAUUCAAUUAACAGGGCCCUCUUAAGUUGGCAAGAGAACUUUGUGGGGAAGAGAAGAAAAAAAGCUUCGAAGGUUGCCUCUUUAUGCAUCUUUUGGAUUCCUUGGCAAGAAAGAAACAGGAAGUGAGAUAGAUUUAUGGGGUUUACCAUUUCAUUUAUGGUCUGAGGUUCACUUGAAGAAAAUUAUGGAGCAGUGGGGGACGGUGAUAGAGAUUGAUUGGCGAACGUUGAAACUGUUUGAUCUAAGCAAAGCUAGGGUGAGAGUUGUAAUGAAAGAAUGAUUGGUUCUCCCUGCUUUGAUUAAGGUGUUAGAUGGGGGUUGGGAAUUCAUAGUUUCAGUGGCAGUGGCUAGGAAGGAAAAUGGUAGGCAGGAUAGAGAAAUGGGUGAGUCAACUCGGCAAAUGGUUGAGGCUUACACGGGGACAGAUGGCAGAAAGAGGGUUGAGGAAGCUAGAUUAACGGCUGGAAGGGGGUCUUCUGUUAGGGCAGUUGGCAGAACAAAGGAGUGGAGAGCGGGUCAAAAGGCUAAGAAUGCUCCUAGGAGGACACGUGGAAUGAACAAGACGACAGUGGGGAACAGUUGGUCCCAACCUCCACUGUCUUUCAAUUCAAAUUCAAAAAGUCAAAGAGUAGGGUCUGCUAGGCCAAGGCAGGCUAGAAGAGAACAAGUUGGAGGGGUCAAAGCCCAGUCAACUUUUGAGGAUAGGAUUCGGGCCUCUAAACAUAUGACAAGGGCCCAUUCUUCUAGUAAGCCCAGUCCACAAUCUGAAUUUGACGUGGGCUAGAAGAGGAAAGUCCCUAGGAAAGGCUCGAUUCAGUUGUUGGGCCAAGAGCUGGGAGGCAAUCAGGACAGAUAUACGAAGGGCCCUUUACACAGAGUUGUUCUUUCUGCAAAGGGGAAGGCAAAGGUAGACUACGAGGAUUCUGAAACUCAACAGAGGGGCUCCGCGUUGAAAUGCAGUUCAAAGAAGCUGUGGAAUGCUCUGCUUCCUUCAAGCUCUACAUGCCGACAAGGGGGUUGAAGCCGAAGCGAGCCACUCAUGAUUGAGAGAUCGCUGUCAGUUAGCGAUGCUCUUCCAAUGGAAGACGUUUUCAAAGCAGGAACACAGUUGGUUCAAGGCUUCAGUGCGAGUCCAAACCGUUUGUCAGGGCUUCAAAAAAGGUGUUCCGAGGAAGGAACAACGUCGACGAAGGAAAACGUGGAGCAAAGGAAUCUUCUUAGGGCUCCUUUUCUAUCAAAAGGGAAGGAGAAAAUGCGCAAUAUUGCUAAAGGAGAAGACGGAGCAGGUUUUAAGGGUUUUGUGGGUUGUUCUCAUAGUGGAUCUUUAGUCACGGUUCAUCCUUCUUAUCCCGCAACCAGCGAAAAAGGGCUCAACUCUAUGGGGUACUGUGGAAUGAUGGUAGUGGAAAAUUUUGAGGUAUCUUCUCAUCAUUUUUCUUAGCCAUCUCUGCAUUUUCUUUCUCCUUUCUCUGGCUUGGCUACUCCAUACCCGAGUCCUUCUAUUCCCUAUCUUUCCACUUCAGCCUUUCAAUCCCAGUUUCCUAUGAAAAAUCGAGUCUUCUCUGAAAUUUUUUCAAAAAAAAAAAUGACGUUGGGGCUUAUCGUCUUGGGUUUGUUGGCAAUCCUAACCAUGAUGAUGCGGUGUUCCAGUUGGCUAGUUUGAAUCUUUUGUCUGAGAGUUUUAAUUAUGUUAAGACCAAACCCAGCACGCCUCCUAGGGCCCCUAUUCUGGGUACAGUUAACCAGGGAGACGCAGAGUUCUCCCAGAUGGGUGGGUUCCAAGUAAAAGGUUUUUCCCCCAGCAAAAUGGCUAAAGUUUGUGAGGUCUUAAGCUCCUUGGAUAGUAAGGUGUAUUGAAGAUGAAAGAACAGAAUUGCCACAGACAUUUGAGAUCUGUUGGCGUUGGUUUGGAGGCAUAGGGUCAGUAAGGUGUUUUUACAAAGAUCAUAAGCUGGAAUAUCAGGGGUUUGGGAUCUAAGAAAAAGCAAAGGGUGGUUAAGUAUUUUUUGCGGCUCCAGAAUCCUGAUGUAGUAAUGUUUCAGGAAACAAAAAGAAAGGUGUGCGACAAAAGGUUUGUAGGUAGUGUCUGGUCGAUUAGGAAUAAGGAGUGGGCUGCUCUCCCGGCGUGCAGGGCUUCAGGAGGGAUUUUGAUCAUUUGGGACUCAAAGAAAAUGAGCAGUGAGGAGGUGGUAAUUGGAUUUUUUCUGUCUCAGUCAAGUUCUUGUUGGAUGGAUGUGGACCAUUGUGGUUGUCCGCAGUUUAUGGUCCAAACAACCCCUUAAUUAGGAAGGAUUUUUGGGUGGAGCUGUUAGACCUUUUUGGCCUUACUUUUCCUUCAUGGUGUGUGGGAGGUGACUUCAAUGUUAUAAGGAGAAGAUCAGAAAAACUGGGUGGCUCUAGACUCACUUCUAGCAUGAGGGAUUUUGAUGGUUUUAUAAGAGAAUGUGAAUUACAUGAUCCCCCAUUAUGGAAUGCCUCUUUUACUUGGUCAAAUAUGCAAGAGUCACUGGUGUGCAAGAGAUUGGAUCGGUUUCUCUAUUCAAAUGUGUGGGAGCUUUCCUUCCCUCAAAGCCUUCAAGAAGUUCUUCCUAGAUGGACAUCGGAUCACUGGCUGAUUGUCUUGAAUACCAAUCCUUUCAAGUGGGGCCCAACACCUUUUAGGUUUGAGAAUAUGUGGUUGCAACAUCCUAGUUUCAAAGAGUGCUUUAGUAGUUGGUGGAGAGAAUUUGAAGGAAAUGAUUGGGAAGGUCACAAGUUCAUGAGGAAGUUACAAUUUGUUAAGGCAAAAUUGAAAGAUUGGAAUAAGAAUACUUUUGGAAUGCUAAAGGAAAGGAAAAAAACCAUCUUGGAUGAAAUAGCUAACAUUGAUGUCAUUGAACAAGAAAGGGUUCUUUCUUCUGAUCUUUCUGUUCAAAGAGUUGUAAGAAAAGGGGCGUUAGAGGAAAUAAUUUUGAGGAAAGAAAUUCAUUGGAGACAAAAAGCUAAGGUAAAAUGGGUUAAGGACGGAGAUUGCAAUUCAAAGUUGUUUCACAAAAUGGCUAACGAGAGACGGAACAAGAAUUUCAUCAAAUUCUUGGAGAAUGAAAGAGGUUUGGUGUUGGACAAUUCCGAGAGCAUAACAGAUGAGAUAUUAUUUUAUUUCAAAAAGCUCUACUCGAGUCCUCCUAGAGAGUCUUGGAGAGUAGAAGGUAUUGAUUGGUUCCCUAUAUCAGAAGAGAGUACUUCUAGGCUGGAUUCCCCUUUUUCCGAAGAAGAAAUCUUUAAUACCAUUUUUCAGUUAGAUAGGGAUAAGGUGUCGAGGCCUGAUGGUUUCACCAUUGCAGUGUUUCAGGAUUGUUGGGAUGUGAUCAAGGAUGACUUAAUGAGGGUAUUUGCAAAGUUUCACAAUAGUGGGAUUAUUAAUCAAAACACCAAUGCCUCCUUCAUAGUUCUUUUGCCCAAAAAAAGUAGGUCAAAGAAGAUUUCGGAUUUUAGACCUAUCAGCCUGAUCACUUGUCUCUAUAAGGUAAUAGCAAAAGUCUUGUCAAGGCGAUUAAGAGAAGUACUACACAAGACCAUCCACUCUACUCAAGGUGCUUUUGUUCAAGGAAGACAAAUUUUGGAUGUAGUUCUUAUAGUCAAUGAGAGUGUGGACGAGAAAAAACGAUCAGGAAAGGAAAGAGUUGUAUUCAAGAUAGACUUUGAAAAGGCUUAUGACCAUGUGAAAUAGGAUUUUUUGGAUCAUGUGUUGGAGAAAAAGGGAUUUAGUUCUAAAUGGAGGAUUUGGAUGAGAGGUUGUCUGUCGGCGGUCUCUUAUGCUAUUCUAGUGAAUGGUAUUGCUAAAGGGUGGGUCAAGGCAUCUAGAGGUUUAAGGCAAGGUGACCCUUUAUCCCCUUUCCUAUUCACUAUUGUUGCAGAUGUGUUGAGUAGAAUGUUGUUGAAAGCUGAGGAAAGAAGUUUGCUAGAGGACUUCAGGGUAGGUAGAAAUAGAUGUAGGGUGUCCCAUCUGCAAUUCGCAGACGAUACCAUCCUCUUUGCUAACUCUUGUGCGGAAGAACUGCAAACUCUUUGAGUUUAUUGUUAGUGUUUGGUCAAGUUUCUGGGCUUAAGGUCAAUCUUGACAAAAGUAAUAUUUUUGGCAUCAACCUUGAUCAGAAUCAUCUCUCUAGGUUAGCCUUGUUGCUUGAAUGCAAGGCUUCAGAUUGGCCCAUACUUUAUCCGGGUCUUCCUUUGGGAGGGAAUCCAACUGCUUGUGGAUUCUGGGAUCCAGUGAUUGAGAGAAUCUCUAGGAGAUUAGACGGGUGGCAAAAGGCUUACUUAUCUUUCAGUGGUAGGAUAACUCUUGUACACUCAUGCCUUUCCCACAUCCCUAACUACUUUCUUUCUCUGUUUAAGAUUCCCGCUUCAAUGGCUACAAAAGUUGAGAGGAUGCAAAGAGAUUUUCUUUGGUCAAGGGUUGGGGAAGGUAAAAGAGAUCAUCUUGUUAGUUGGGAUGCAGUGUGUAAGCCGAGGGUAAAAAGGGGUUUGGGGUUUGGGAAGAUUCCUUUAAGGAAUCGUGCUCUUUUAGGGAAAUGGUUGUGGAGGUUUCCUAGGGAGAGUACAGCUCUAUGGCAUCAGGUCAUUCUUAGCCUCUACGAGACACACUCAAAUGGUUAAGAUGUCAAUACUUUAGUCAGAUGGUGACAUCAUUGUCCUUGGAAGGCCAUUACACAAGUCUUUCAGGAUUUUUCCAAGUAUACUCAGUUUGUCAUAGGAGAUGAGGAAAGAAUUCGCUUUUGGGAAGAUUUGUGGUGGGGAACCAAAUCUUCAAAGACCAAUAUCCAAGACUAUUUAGAGUAGUAACGGAUAAAAAUAUUCUUAUAUCUUCAAUUCUCAGUUCUACUCACCCUUUCUCAUGGAACUUUAAUUUCCGCCGUAAUCUAUCCAAUUCUGAGAUAGAAGAUCUAGAACGCCUCAUGCGCUCUCUUGAUUGUAUGCAUUUAUCCACUUCCGCUUCAGAUGCAAGAUCUUGGUCCUUAUUGUCUUCAGGAUUGUUUACAGUCAAGUCUUUCUUUACAGCCUUAUCCCAAAUGCCUGAUUCAUAUCCAUUUUUCCCCACUAAGUUUGUAUGGAAAUCUCAAGUCCCUUUCAAAGUUAAGGCUUUUGUCUGGCUUGUGGCACACAAGAAGGUAAAUACCAAUGACUUGCUACAAUUGAGGAGACCCCACAAAGCUCUUAGCCCUGACAUUUGUAAGUUGUGUAUGGAGCAAGGAGAAUCAGCAGAUAAUCUCUUUCUUCAUUGUUCUAUGUCGUUAGGGUUGUGGCACAAACUAUUUCAGCUAGCCAAGAUGGAUUGGGUUCCUCCGAGAAGCAUUUCAGACAUGAUCUUCAUCAAUUAUAAAGGUUUUCUCAAGUCCAAGAGAGGGUUAGUUUUGUGGCAAAACGCGUGCAUAGCUUUAAUUUAGGUUGUGUGGCGGGAAAGAAAUGUUAGGAUAUUUGAGGACAAAGCUAGGAAUUCAGAGAAUCUUUGGGACUCCAUUCAUUUCCUUGCUUCUCUUUAGGCUUUUUGUUUCGCGGUUUUUGAGGGCAUUCCCCUUAACGCAUUACAACUAAAUUGGCUAGUAGUGUGUAGUUCCAAUGGGACGGUAUAGUCAAGGGUGCUUGUGUGUAGUUGACAUAGUGUAGUGUCUUGUUAUCUUUUUGUGUUGUUUAGUUUCACCUUUGGCGGGAGGAUUCCUCAUCCUCCUAUUAUACUUCUUUUUCUAUUGUACUUCUUUUUCUAUCAAUAUAUUCAUGUAUGGUUUCCUAUAAAAUAAAAUAAAAAACAGGAAGUGCUUCUAGGACAUGAAAAAAUUGGAUCAAGCAUUAAAAUCCUCCUUCUUAUGCCUAUCUCGUGUAUUCUUUUUAUUCUUACCUUGGCACCCUUGUAUAAGUCCUAUGUACUUUAGUGCACUUUUUCAUAAAUGCUAUUAAUAUAUUUUUUUUAUUUGCUUAUAAAAAAAAAUUUAAAGGUAAUAAGGACAAGAGGAAGCCAAAAGAAAUGGAGAGAGAGAGAGAGAGAUCUACAAACACAUUAGCAAAAGAUCAGAGAAAUGCAUGAUGAGCCAUUAUAUAAAGAUGUAUGACGAAAAAAAUCACCCAUUAAGCCUAUUGAUUGGAUGAGCUUUAUUGAGUAGAUUUUCUCCACAAUUGGGUAAAAUUCAGCUUUUAAUUUUUCUUUUUUUUUGGUCUCCUUGUUUUGUUUGCUUUUGCCCAAUAAUGUACAAGGAAUUUCUACCACUAUAAUUUUACUUCGUUUUUUUUUUUUUUCUUUUUAUCAACAAUAGAAGGGAAUAUAUUAAGCAAAGCCUUGGAAAUGGCACAACAAGUAUAAACUAUUUUACUUUCAGUAAUAUUAUAUAUUGAUCUAACCUUUUAAGCAAAAAAUAAUGUUUAAGGAAAUAUAGAUACUUACCUGCAUUAACACAAAUAAGCACAUGUGUGAUAUAUGGACAUGUUAAUUUCAGCCAAAAUACUCGCAUCAACACAAUAUCACACAAUUGUGGGUGUGAGAUCCAUGUCUAAUAUGCUUAUAUUGCAUCAAAUAGGGAUAUUUAGUUUAUGAUUGUUUUAUAUCUUUAUUUAUUUAUUUUUUUAUUAAUUAUGCUUAUAUUGUAUCAAAUACGACUUCUUCUUCUUUUUUCUUUUUGAUAGGUGAAUUAGGAGGAUAUAUUAAAAGCACUUUCAAAUUGGCACAACAAAGUACACCUAAGAGUAGACAAAAAAUGCCAAAGGACAAGCAAAAGGAAGAGAAGGAAAAGAGAAAGCAAACACCAACCACCCUAACUAAUCGACCAUCCCUAAGAAAGCUAAAGCCUCCCUUAACCCAAUCACAAACCAAAACUCUAGACCAACCUCACAAAACAGGCUAUGAAUCCCCAAUGCUCCUUCUUCUUCCCCUGAUAGUAAUCGGAGACUUGUUGUAAUUAACC
rnacentral:lncRNA from 1 species